UAAGUGAGUAGUGAAAUCGUGUGGCUCAACCAUUACGGCUAUUACUCAAACUGGUAAGCUCGAGAAUGGUAGAGGUAGCUGGAAUUUCUAGUGUAGGAGUGAAAUCCGUAGAUAUUAGAAGGAACACCAAUGGCGUAGGCAGGCUACUGGACCAUUUUCUGACACUAAGGCACGAAAGCGUGGGGAGCGAACCGGAUUAGAUACCCGGGUAGUCCACGCCGUAAACGAUGGAUACUA
rnacentral:rRNA from 1 species